rnacentral:rRNA from 1 species
GACGAACGCUGGCGGCGUGCUUAACACAUGCAAGUCGAACGGAAAGGCCCUGCUUUUGUGGGGUGCUCGAGUGGCGAACGGGUGAGUAACACGUGAGUAACCUGCGCUUGACUUUGGGAUAACUUCAGGAAACUGGGGCUAAUACCGGAUAGGAGCUCCUGCUGCAUGGUGGGGGUUGGAAAGUUUCGGCGGUUGGGGAUGGACUCGCGGCUUAUCAGCUUGUUGGUGGGGUAGUGGCUUACCAAGGCUUUGACGGGUAGCCGGCCUGAGAGGGUGACCGGCCACAUUGGGACUGAGAUACGGCCCAGACUCCUACGGGAGGCAGCAGUGGGGAAUAUUGCACAAUGGGCGGAAGCCUGAUGCAGCAACGCCGCGUGCGGGAUGACGGCCUUCGGGUUGUAAACCGCUUUCGCCUGUGACGAGGCGUGAGUGACGGUAAUGGGUAAAGAAGCACCGGCUAACUACGUG